ensembl:lncRNA
UAAAGUUUCUAUCCCUUAAAGAACAUAUCUGUUAAGUAAUUGUGUUUUUGCUUUAAUUUUCAGCUAUGUUAAUCGAAGAGAGAAGUUCGACUUAUUAUUCGUGGCUAACAUUCAUCCCCUCCCCUCCCACCUUUUUCCCGCCUAACCCUAACACGAUAUGAGAGCUUUUGUUUUUUUCACAACUGCUAUGACCUGAUUACAGCACAGCACGAGCGAACAGGGGUGGCAUAAAGUAGCCAAACUAAGGUGGAUCCGGCGCUUUUAGUAGAGCGGUUUUCUUUCUGACAUCCCUCAGCAACAGCUCGAGGGCAGUCAAAGUGUAGCUGCACUUCCGAUGCCCAUAUUUGGCAAGCCUCAGCGAAGCGUGAGUGCAGGAAAGCAUCUUGGAGGAAAAUAUGAUAGCUCUUCUCUGUCGUGUAACAAAAGGAAAAGAGCCAAACGUCUUUUUUUCUCCCAGAAGUUGAAAGUGUAUUUGUGUUGACAAACCACAGCCCUAUUUGCGUUGAUCCGCAGGAACUCCCAGCGCAGGAGAGACACGCAGGAAAAUAAACAAUUCCACAUCACAAACUGCCAAGAGCCACAGACCCUGUGCGAUCACCAUGACAGCCUUGCUGGACCUGAAGAGCAGUGUGCUGAGACAGGUGCAGAGGAGCCAAUCACUGAGGAGCAGGAGGGAAACGCCAUCGACCCCCAGCAGUCCCCUCACACACUGCCCUGGCCCACUGCCCACCAGGGUCUCCGAGGAGAGCAUGGAGUUCUUUGAGCGCACAAGCAGCAUCCUCCAGAAGCAGGAAAGCAUGCUCUGGACAGCCCAGGCGGAGGUGGGUCUCUUCUUCGUCUUCGUCUUCUCCUUUGACCUUUUAUCUGCCUCUUCUUGCUAAAGAAACUGCCUUUUUUUGUCACUUUUUUUGAGCCCACCGUGGUAUACACCUCUGCCUUUGGCAGGCCCCGGGCUCUCUGCUAUACGCCGGUGCUUGCAUCAGU